AGACCAAAUAACUCCUCAGUUAAAGGAAUGAUUCACAUCAGCACGCUGGCCUGGCACGAAGGCACAGAAUCAGCUAAGCAGAAAGACAGGAAGCUGACCUUGUCGGAGAACUGACGGAACAAGGUUCUCUUUUUUUCAUCAUCUGCGCUGUUUUGGACCGGAGUGGGCUGCAAAAGACGGAGAGCUCUCAGAUUAACAGGUUAACCAGGGUCACAGGCGUCAUGAUCUAUAGAUGUUCUCUAAACGGUGAAUAAUGUGAAACAACAGCAACGCUAAUAAUCAUCAAUCAGAUGCUUGAAAUACUCGCACACCUCUGUUACCAUCUUUUCCAUAUGUUCGUGGUUGUGGCCUCCUGAAUUUUCACUGAGGAGAAAGAGAAAACAAAUAAUGACACCACACGAUCAGCGGCUUGUCUCGUGAUGGAGAUAACGGCAUUACAAUGACCCAGAGAAGACUAAGGCAAUCAAGAGCCAUACUUAUGAGGAAGUGAAUCCUAUUAUGAGAAAAGAAAAAGAGGAAAAAUCAACCUUUGAAGGCUGACCAGGAAGUAGUCAGUGACUUACUGGACGUGGGUCUCGGCUUUGGAGAUGAUGGUCAGGAGGAAGGAUGCGGUCUCAUUGGGACUGAAGGUGGAUGGGACGAUCAGGUAUUCACCUGGCUCCAGAGCCACUAACUCCAUCACCUCGCGCCCGUUCAUGUAUUUUUUGGAUCCUGCCACAGCUUUGUUUCUGCUGAAGAAAGAGGCCGGGAACUUCCCGUCGUGGGCUUCAUUCUGUAACACGAAAAUCCAAUGUGGAGGUUUUCAACCAGGCGUCUGUUUCUCUUGUCGGGCUUCUGCAUGAGAGACACCAGCAUGCUGUCCUCACCCUGUGUCUUAGAGCAUCCACCAGCUACCUUCUCAACCUUCACCCGGUACUGUGGAUUGGUCCAGAAGCUCGCUGACCGGUUAGAGAGGAAGUACAGUGAGAAGCAGGCUACAACGUGACAACAGAUUCCAUGUAAAAGUAUUGAUCAAUAGGUCUGAGGGGUGUCCUCAGGUUGGCAUGUUCUGACCGGUCAUACCGGCCUUACCAUCAGGGGGAACAAAACAUCUGAGCACACCGGACCUGAACUGUCUGAAAAGUGCAGAUGCUGUGGUAUUAAGAAAGGGUCGGUGGACGUCAGUGAGUAAAGGGAUUAUCUCAGAAUAACUGAGCACCUCGCUGACACUGAGAGGACAUCUCACUCUUUAAGAUAAUAAUAAUAAUACUUGUGUGUGACAGAGUAAGCUCUCUGAAGCUGCCUCCUCUCUCUGAGUCAGGGUUUCAUCACACUGUGCAGCAGAGCAGCUUUUAAUUAAAAACACAUCCAAAAGUCAAGAUCACAAAGAACAUUUCUUUCCACUCAUUUGUUUCCUGGAUUAAGACACCAAAUGUUGGUCUUUCUUUGGAUUUUGCCGACUUCUAAAGUGUAAAUAAAUAAAUAAAUAACACAAGAGUUUAAAGAGCAGAGAGGAGAGAAGGCACAGUGUGAGAGCGCUCACACAGAGGGACACUUCAGAACUCUUAAAUUAUAGAGAUGUUUCUUUUUACAGUCAACACCGUUAGAGACAUUUGUGGGUGAAUCAAGGAGUCCUGGAGGUACCGGGAUUAUUCAAGCAUCCUCCCGCGGUGGUUCCUGCGACCCAUCGUCCUUCAUAAACGGACGUCUUCCAGUGGCAUGAAGAGCUUGCGUCCAGGAAGUCCGGACACUUGCAGCAGAUGUCGAGAGAGGCACUGUUGCCGAUCCUGAGGGCUGAUGGUUUGCCACAAAGAGGAGCUUCAGAGAAGAACAACCGGUGAAGAGAGAGGAAAGA